AACUGAUACUACCUGCGGGAACCUGCGGAGGGAUCAUUACCGAGUUUACAACUCCCAAACCCAAUGUGAACGUUACCAAACUGUUGCCUCGGCGGGAUCUCUGCCCCGGGUGCGUCGCAGCCCCGGACCAAGGCGCCCGCCGGAGGACCAACCAAAACUCUUUUUGUAUACCCCCUCGCGGGUUUUUAUAUCUGAGCCAUCUCGGCGCCUCUCGUAGGCGUUUCGAAAAUGAAUCAAAAC
rnacentral:misc_RNA from 1 species